CUACCUCCCCUGUUGCGUCCUUGCCCUCCACACGUCGGCCGCGGUCCACGAGGUAUANACUACCGUGGUUACGCCACGACCGUAAAGAUGAGUGACUAGUGGUGGGGGUUUUCCGCCCCCUCAGUGCUGCAGCUAACGCAUUAAGCACUCCGCCUGGGGAGUACGACCGCAAGGUUGAAACUCAAAGGAAUUGACGGGGACCCGCACAAGCGGUGGAGCAU
rnacentral:rRNA from 1 species